rnacentral:rRNA from 1 species
ACAAGACGGAGGAACAUGUGGUUUAAUUCGUAUGAUACGCGAGGAACCUUACCCGGGCUUGAAUGCAGAGGAACAUAGUUGAAAGAUUAUGGCCGGCAAGGUCUCUGUGAAGGUGCUGCAUGGUUGUCGUCAGCUCGUGCCGUGAGGUGUCGGCUUAAGUGCCAUAACGAGCGCAACCCUUAUCAUUAGUUACUAACAGGUCAUGCUGAGGACUCUAGUGAGACUGCCGUCGUAAGAUGUGAGGAAGGUGGGGAUGACGUCAAAUCAGCACGGCCCUUACGUCCGGGGCUACACACGUGUUACAAUGGGGGGUACAGAGGGCAGCUACCGGGCGACCGGAGUGCCAAUCCCAAAAACCUCUCUCAGUUCGGAUCGAAGUCUGCAACCCGACUUCGUGAAGCUGGAUUCGCUAGUAAUCGCGCAUCAGCCACGGCGCGGUGAAUACGUUCCCGGGCCUU